UACAGAGGGUGCAAGCGUUGUUCGGAAUCACUGGGCGUAAAGGGUGCGUAGGCGGGUCUUUAAGUCAGGGGUGAAAUCCUGGAGCUCAACUCCAGAACUGCCUUUGAUACUGAAGAUCUUGAGUUCGGGAGAGGUGAGUGGAACUGCGAGUGUAGAGGUGAAAUUCGUAGAUAUUCGCAAGAACACCAGUGGCGAAGGCGGCUCACUGGCCCGAGACUGACGCUGAGGCGCGAAAGCGUGGGGAGCAAACAGG
rnacentral:rRNA from 1 species